CCAGCAGCCGCGGUAAUUCCAGCUCCAAUAGCGUAUAUUAAAGUUGUUGCAGUUAAAAAGCUCGUAGUUGGAUUUCUGGGAGGGUGCCAAUGUCCGCCGACGUGCGUGCGCAGGCGUCUUGCCAUCCUUCUGUUAACCUUUGAGAGCUACAUCGCUCUCUUUGGGGCUCAGAUAUUUUACCUUGAGAAAAUUAGAGUGUUUCAGGCAGGCUAGCGCCGGAAUACAUUAGCAUGGAAUAAUAGAAUAGGACUUUUGCCUCUUCUGUUGGUCAUGGGGUUCGAGUAAUGAUUAAUAGGGAUAGUUGGGGGCAUUAGUACUUCACUGUCAGAGGUGAAAUUCUCGGAUUUGUGAAAGACUAACUUAUGCGAAAGCAUUUGCCAAGGAUGUUUUCAUUGAUCAAGAACGAAAGU
rnacentral:rRNA from 1 species